rnacentral:rRNA from 1 species
CGUGUAAGACAGAUUGAUAGCUCUUUCUCGAAUCUAUGGGUGGUGGUGCAUGGCCGUUCUUAGUUCGUGGAGUGAUUUGUCUGGUUAAUUCCGAUAACGAACGAGACUCAAAUAUAUUAAAUAGAUGCUUUCAGGAUUAUAAUGUUGAAGCUUAUUAUAGCCUUCAUUCAUGAUUGCACAAAUUGUGUAUGAAUGUUUGAAUGUGUUUAUAUAAGUGGAGUUAUACCUGUUGGUUUGUCCCAUUAUAAGGACACUAGCUUUUAAA